rnacentral:rRNA from 3 species
GGGUUGUGAGGUUAAGCGACUAAGCGUACACGGUGGAUGCCCUGGCAGUCAGAGGCGAUGAAGGACGUGCUAAUCUGCGAUAAGCGCCGGUAAGGUGAUAUGAACCGUUAUAACCGGCGAUUUCCGAAUGGGGAAACCCAGUGUGAUUCGUCACACUAUCAUUAACUGAAUCCAUAGGUUAAUGAGGCGAACCGGGGGAACUGAAACAUCUAAGUACCCCGAGGAAAAGAAAUCAACCGAGAUUCCCCCAGUAGCGGCGAGCGAACGGGGAGGAGCCCAGAGCCUGAAUCAGCAUGUGUGUUAGUGGAAGCGUCUGGAAAGGCGCGCGAUACAGGGUGACAGCCCCGUACACAAAAGCGCAUGUGCUGUGAGCUCGAUGAGUAGGGCGGGACACGUGGUAUCCUGUCUGAAUAUGGGGGGACCAUCCUCCAAGGCUAAAUACUCCUGACUGACCGAUAGUGAACCAGUACCGUGAGGGAAAGGCGAAAAGAACCCCGGCGAGGGGAGUGAAAAAGAACCUGAAACCGUGUACGUACAAGCAGUGGGAGCACCCUUCGGGGUGUGACUGCGUACCUUUUGUAUAAUGGGUCAGCGACUUAUAUUCUGUAGCAAGGUUAACCGUAUAGGGGAGCCGGAGGGAAACCGAGUCUUAAUUGGGCGUUAAGUUGCAGGGUAUAGACCCGAAACCCGGUGAUCUAGCCAUGGGCAGGUUGAAGGUUGGGUAACACUAACUGGAGGACCGAACCGACUAAUGUUGAAAAAUUAGCGGAUGACCUGUGGCUGGGGGUGAAAGGCCAAUCAAACCGGGAGAUAGCUGGUUCUCCCCGAAAGCUAUUUAGGUAGCGCCUCGUGAAUUCAUCUCCGGGGGUAGAGCACUGUUUCGGCUAGGGGGCCAUCCCGGCUUACCAACCCGAUGCAAACUGCGAAUACCGGAGAAUGUUAUCACGGGAGACACACGGCGGGUGCUAACGUCCGUCGUGAAGAGGGAAACAACCCAGACCGCCAGCUAAGGUCCCAAAGUCAUGGUUAAGUGGGAAACGAUGUGGGAAGGCCCAGACAGCCAGGAUGUUGGCUUAGAAGCAGCCAUCAUUUAAAGAAAGCGUAAUAGCUCACUGGUCGAGUCGGCCUGCGCGGAAGAUGUAACGGGGCUAAACCAUGCACCGAAGCUGCGGCAGCGAACGUAUCACCCAAGACAACUUUACGGAGUUGACGAUUGACGGAGCGAAGCGACGUCAAAGCGUUCAUUAAAGUCGAGUUGGCUUAGGGAUACGUUCGUUGGGUAGGGGAGCGUUCUGUAAGCCUGUGAAGGUGUGUCGUGAGGCAUGCUGGAGGUAUCAGAAGUGCGAAUGCUGACAUAAGUAACGAUAAAGCGGGUGAAAAGCCCGCUCGCCGGAAGACCAAGGGUUCCUGUCCAACGUUAAUCGGGGCAGGGUGAGUCGACCCCUAAGGCGAGGCCGAAAGGCGUAGUCGAUGGGAAACGGGUUAAUAUUCCCGUACUUGGUGUUACUGCGAAGGGGGGACGGAGAAGGCUAUGUUGGCCGGGCGACGGUUGUCCCGGUUUAAGCGUGUAGGUGUGUGUUCCAGGUAAAUCCGGUUCACUUUAACACUGAGGCGUGACGACGAGGCACUACGGUGCUGAAGCAACAAAUGCCCUGCUUCCAGGAAAAGCCUCUAAGCAUCAGGUAACAUCAAAUCGUACCCCAAACCGACACAGGUGGUCAGGUAGAGAAUACCAAGGCGCUUGAGAGAACUCGGGUGAAGGAACUAGGCAAAAUGGUGCCGUAACUUCGGGAGAAGGCACGCUGACACGUAGGUGAAGUGAUUUACUCAUGGAGCUGAAGUCAGUCGAAGAUACCAGCUGGCUGCAACUGUUUAUUAAAAACACAGCACUGUGCAAACACGAAAGUGGACGUAUACGGUGUGACGCCUGCCCGGUGCCGGAAGGUUAAUUGAUGGGGUCAGCGCAAGCGAAGCUCCUGAUCGAAGCCCCGGUAAACGGCGGCCGUAACUAUAACGGUCCUAAGGUAGCGAAAUUCCUUGUCGGGUAAGUUCCGACCUGCACGAAUGGCGUAAUGAUGGCCAGGCUGUCUCCACCCGAGACUCAGUGAAAUUGAACUCGCUGUGAAGAUGCAGUGUACCCGCGGCAAGACGGAAAGACCCCGUGAACCUUUACUAUAGCUUGACACUGAACAUUGAGCCUUGAUGUGUAGGAUAGGUGGGAGGCUUUGAAGUGUGGACGCCAGUCUGCAUGGAGCCGACCUUGAAAUACCACCCUUUAAUGUUUGAUGUUCUAACGUGGACCCGUAAUCCGGGUUGCGGACAGUGUCUGGUGGGUAGUUUGACUGGGGCGGUCUCCUCCUAAAGAGUAACGGAGGAGCACGAAGGUUGGCUAAUCCUGGUCGGACAUCAGGAGGUUAGUGCAAUGGCAUAAGCCAGCUUGACUGCGAGCGUGACGGCGCGAGCAGGUGCGAAAGCAGGUCAUAGUGAUCCGGUGGUUCUGAAUGGAAGGGCCAUCGCUCAACGGAUAAAAGGUACUCCGGGGAUAACAGGCUGAUACCGCCCAAGAGUUCAUAUCGACGGCGGUGUUUGGCACCUCGAUGUCGGCUCAUCACAUCCUGGGGCUGAAGUAGGUCCCAAGGGUAUGGCUGUUCGCCAUUUAAAGUGGUACGCGAGCUGGGUUUAGAACGUCGUGAGACAGUUCGGUCCCUAUCUGCCGUGGGCGCUGGAGAACUGAGGGGGGCUGCUCCUAGUACGAGAGGACCGGAGUGGACGCAUCACUGGUGUUCGGGUUGUCAUGCCAAUGGCACUGCCCGGUAGCUAAAUGCGGAAGAGAUAAGUGCUGAAAGCAUCUAAGCACGAAACUUGCCCCGAGAUGAGUUCUCCCUGAGACUUAGAGUCUCCUGAAGGAACGUUGAAGACGACGACGUUGAUAGGCCGGGUGUGUAAGCGCAGCGAUGCGUUGAGCUAACCGGUACUAAUGAACCGUGAGGCUUAACCUUACAACGCCGAAG